rnacentral:lncRNA from 1 species
CAUCUGCCAUGGAUCGAUCUGAUCCAUGCACGAAAAAUCAUGGUGCAUGGCCCUUGUUUGUGCGAUCUGACAGUCAAAAAUAUACUAAUGCAUAAUUUUGCAUGAUCCAAGGGCUAGGGAAGGUUGUGAGAGAGAUCCAAUGGCUGGAAAGGAUAGUUGUAUCCUUUUGAAGCCUUGUUUUCGAUCCAGACUGGGAUUUGGGCCCUUUAGUAGGGGCAGAC